ensembl:lncRNA
AAUUUUAAUCUUUAUUCCAGAUAAGUGAUGGAGCAAACCCCUGCUGGUUCACAUCUCUAGAUGUGGGCGGGGGAAGAUCCCCACACAGCCUGGAGUUAACUGGGCCUGAGGGAGCAACUUGUCUCAACUAAAAAUACUCUUGCUUCUGCAUCUUCCAUUUCCAUAAUUAAACACACGUCUGUGCACACACACGCUAUGUGCAGGUGUGCAAACACACACACAAGUUGCCCCAGUUUAACUCUGGUGGUUCACAAAGAGCCUCCCCUUGACCAGGCUUCAGACAGGCUCCUUGUCCUUGGCCUUUGGAAGACGAUCUCAGCACAGAAUCCUGCCGAGUCAGCUUAGCCAGAUUCCCUACUCCAGAUGCCUGGGCGAGGUCCUCACCCCUGCCCGGGGUCUGAUGGCCCUCACUGCUUCUGCAGGAACCUGCUGAGUCAGCGUAGCCAGCACCCCGACCCUGGAUGUCUCCUUGGUGGCUUUGCAUCCACCCACCGACCUCUCCCUCUGCGCGUGGGCUGUAAGCCUGGACCAUCUUUGCUAUAUUCAGCCAUCUUUGCUGCGUUCGGAGUGGAGCCUCACUCCCAUAGUCUUGAACAAGGUCUUCCUUACCGUUUGAACAAGUGUCGGAAUAAUUUCUUUAGCUCAUUUGAGAAGGAAGCAGGAAGGAGACUAGUUGUUGCUUCUUGUUCUGUUCUUCAUGUGACGGGAGCGGGGCCGGCAGGGAGAGAGCUGUCAGUUUCUGUGUUUGACGUAAUGUGUGCUGAAGAUCAUCUUCCUGGAGUGUGAUUUCUUUCCACUGGAGACUAGAGAUGAGGGCCCACCUGCCAAGGAAGGCAAAGAAGAGAUGGUGAGGUGGCGGUGCAUGGGGUGGGCAGUGGCCUUGACCACCACAGUCCUCACCAGGGAGGCGGAGCAGAAAACACCAGGUCAGAUGUUAGAGCUUGCUGAAGGCUAGCAGAAUGUGCCUCCCCAGAUGCAUCUCUUUGGCACAACGAUUAUUUGGAGAAACAGCUGAGGCAGGAGAAGCUGUGAAACAGAGCAGAAGCUGCCGUUUGGGGGGGACGUUCACAUCUACAAAGGGAAUCUCCAUCUAUAGGUUUCCCUCUGCACCAGGAAGAGGAGGCCGGCUCGGAACCACAGGAGAAUCUGAUUCUGGGAAGAGCACCGACUUCAAUGUCCCCUGUUUAUCUUGCUCUUCCUAGUCACCCCCCCAAACUGGCCUCCCCACCCCAACAUCUCUCUUUUAACUGUAAACAGUGUGGGGGGUCAGAAUUGGCUGCCCCAAAAUGUGUCUCUGGCUUGAUUAUUAUUAUUAUUGUUUUAAAGAUUGGCACCUGAGCUAACAUCUGUUGCCAAUCUUUUUUUUUCUGCUUUUUCUCCCCAAUUCCCCCCACCCCCCACCGUACAUAGUUGUAUACCUUAGUUGCAGGUCCUUCUAGUUGUCACAUGUGGGAUGCCGCCUCAACAUGGCCUGACAUGUGGUGCCAUGUCCACACCCAAGAUCGGAACUGAUGAAACCCUGGGCCGCCACAGCAUAGCGUGUGAACUUAACCACUCAGCCAUGGGGCCAGCCCCUGGUUUGAUUAUUUUUAAGAACAAAAGACUCAGAAAGAAAUUUUGGGGGAAAAUUCUGAAAAAAUUUGGGGGAAGAAACCUUCCCCUGAACUGCCUAAAAGAAUGUCAGAUGGAAGGCCUGUUCCAGGAAGGAGCUGUCGCCAUAGGUCCUGAAGACAUAAAAUAAUGGAGGCUCGUGUCCCCUGGCGGUGGAGCAGGACAUCACCAAACAUCUCAGCGAAGAUACUACGUCUCAAGGCUUACUGGCAUUUAAAAAAAAA